GACGAACGCUGGCGGCGUGCUUAACACAUGCAAGUCGAACGGAAAGGCCCUGCUUUUGUGGGGUGCUCGAGUGGCGAACGGGUGAGUAACACGUGAGUAACCUGCCCUUGACUUUGGGAUAACUUCAGGAAACUGGGGCUAAUACCGGAUAGGAGCUCCUGCUGCAUGGUGGGGGUUGGAAAGUUUCGGCGGUUGGGGUUGGACUCGCGGCUUAUCAGCUUGUUGGUGGGGUAGUGGCUUACCAAGGCUUUGACGGGUAGCCGGCCUGAGAGGGUGACCGGCCACAUUGGGACUGAGAUACGGCCCAGACUCCUACGGGAGGCAGCAGUGGGGAAUAUCGCACAAUGGGCGGAAGCCUGAUGCAGCAACGCCGCGUGCGGGAUGACGGCCUUCGGGUUGUAAACCGCUUUCGCCUGUGACGAAGCGUGAGUGACGGUAAUGGGUAAAGAAGCACCGGCUAACUACGUG
rnacentral:rRNA from 1 species